rnacentral:misc_RNA from 1 species
AACGCACCUUGCGCUCUCUGGUAUUCCGGAGAGCAUGCCUGUUUGAGUGUCAUGAACUCUUCAACCCACCGGUUCCUUGUUGAACCGAGUUGGUGUUUGGUUUUUGAGUGUUUUGCUUUGUUUUCGGACAUAGCUCGCUCGUAAUACAUUGGCAUCUCGAUUUCGAAAUUUCGGAUUGACUCAGCGUAAUAGACUAUUCGCUGAGGACACCUUUACCGGUGGCCGUAAUUAUGAUAACAGUAGACGCUUCCAAUCCUACUAGUCAAUUUUAUGAUUAGACCUCAGAUCAGGCAGGAUUACCCGCUGAACUUAA